UACGUAGGGGGCAAGCGUUGUCCGGAAUCAUUGGGCGUAAAGAGCGUGUAGGCGGCCCGGUAAGUCCGCUGUGAAAGUCCAGGGCUCAACCCUGGGAUGCCGGUGGAUACUGUCGGGCUCGAGUCCGGAAGAGGAGUGUGGAAUUCCUGGUGUAGCGGUGGAAUGCGCAGAUAUCAGGAGGAACACCAGCGGCGAAGGCGGCGCUCUGGGCCGGAACUGACGCUGAGGAGCGAAAGCGUGGGUAGCAAACAGG
rnacentral:rRNA from 1 species